rnacentral:lncRNA from 12 species
AUGACAGGCACGUCCGUGGGGCGAGCGGGGGCCCGUGUCAGCCCUGCGUCAGCCAGAACAGGAAGCUGCGGCCGGGAGCGCCCCACCCUGCGGGGCCCCUGCGGCCACCACACCUGUCCCCGGAGCCACACAAGCACCGCAGGGGAGGCAGCCCCCGCCCUCAGGCUUCCUGGGCUCCCAGCACCCACCGCCGCACCCCCUGGCCUACGGGGGCUCCCCCGGCUCCAGCUGCCUCGCCUCUGGGUGCUCUGCUGGUUUCCGGGGCCCCAUUUCCGCCCCCGCCCCGGGCAGACUCAUGUUUUACUUUGCAGAGUCUUGGGGAGCAGAGCAUCUGGGGGUGGACGCAGCCUGGGCCCGAUUCCUCCGAGUGGAAACCAGCGGAGGGCACAGCGACCUCACAGCGACCCGGGGAAUCUGGACCCAUUCCGCAAGCCGUGGGAUCUGCCCCCGCCAGGGGUUGGGCUGCCAGAACGAAAUACCACGGACCCACGGACGCGGCGGCUGAACCCACAGACCUUCAUCUCCCGCGACAGGGCUGGGAAGCCAGGCCCGGGUGCCCACAGACGGGGGCGCAGGCUUGGAAGGCCGCUGUCCUUGCCGUGUCCCCGGCCGAGGGAGAGUUCCCAUAAGGGCGCUAAUCCCUCCCGGGGCUCCCCCCGCGUGACCUCCCCGACCCUAGGGGCCCCUCAAGGACCAUCGCACUGGGACCAGAGGGUCCUGUCUAUGGGUUCUGGGGUGCGGGGCCCAGACGUUCCUGCGGCCUAUCCUGGAAGCCUAAGGACCCCCGAAGUAGAGGCUGAGGGUUCUGCUCAAAACAACCGUCCUCUGCACCGCUGUGUGAUGAGCAGGGCCCGGGCACGGAGGGCGCCUCGGGGUGCAGGAGACCUGGGGUCUGCACCACAGUCACCCAGAGGAGCAGCGUCAUGUCACGGGCACCAGGAGGGCGGGCCGGGCCGGGGUCGGUGGGUGCGGGCUGCGGGAGGGGAAGGGGCGGAGCUGGCGCGCCGCUGGGGGCUCGGGCAGGUCGGGGGGCGCAGGUGAGAGCCAGGCGCCCCCUCCCCCAUCGGGGCUCCAGUGCCCCCCGGCCUGGCCCUUCAGGCUUCACGAGCUCCCCGAUGCUCGAAGUUUCCGGAUGGUUUGGGAUGAUGCGCAUGUGCAUCGGGCUUCACGGGCCAACCGAGGCACCGAGGGCCGCGGAAGGUCGUCAAAUACCUGCAGCUUGAAAUCCCAGCUUGUCCGUCGCAUCAUCUGCCCUAGUGUGCGUGGUGAGCGCAGUGGGCGACUGCUGCCCCCAGGACAGCGCAGGAGGGGACGGUCCUUCAUCCCCGAGUGUGCCGCUGGCCCGGCCAGAGAAGUUGCUCUUUAGCCCCUGGUUUUUAGUGUAUUUAUUUAUUUAUUUAUUUAAUUUAUUUUUAAUUUCGUGGAGGCCAGGCCGCGACAGGAGCAGGCCCGGGGCUGGAGGCCGGGCUCCGUGGCUCCCCACGCGCGUGCCUCGUGACUCGGGACGGUCGAGCCGUCUCUUGCCAACCGGCUCGGGUAAAACGUCUAUGGUAAGGGGUAACCACGGUGCAAGAGGGAACACACCCCAACCCUAAGUCCCCGAACGUGCUCUGACAGAUGAUCUCAUUGGGUCCCUGUGACCCCUAGGGCAGGAACCGACUCCCCUCGCCCGUGAGUAAGGGCCUGGGGCCCGAGAGCUGAGUCACGUUCCCACCAUCACGCAGCAGAUUAAGGGGCGGCAGGACGAGGGCCCAAGCCCAACGCGCGCUCCUUAGCCAUCCCUGGGCUUCGGUUACCGUCGAACCGCGGGACCCGGGUCCCCGACCGCCCGCUGCCAGGCGUGCAUCUCUGCAGGAGCUGAAGCCUGAGGGGCUGGACGCUUAGGAACGGAGCUGGGCGCCUGGGAGGCAGACGGACACGGAGCUACCCUCACUGGAUCCCUGCAGAUGGGGAGGGAGAGCCGGGCGGUGGGGAUGACUAGGGGGGCUCUGGGGAUGACUGGGGAGGCAGUAGGGAUGACCGGGGGGCAGUGGGGAUGACU